rnacentral:lncRNA from 1 species
AUUUUUGUUUUUGUUUUCGUUACAGGUUUGCAGCCAGAAACAGGUAUGGUGGAAGCCAUCAAGACAUCAAAGGAGGAAAGACAAUUGUCCUCAGUGAACGUGUACAUUUGGGCAGCUCCACCACUACCAGCAAUCCCAUCUACAAAUUUGGGGGAUAAAGAAUCAUGGAAAACUUUGAGAAGGAGGUGAGUGAGAUGGAAAAAGCCUCCUUCGAGUGUACCUGGAUCCUGGAUAAACCGAAACCUGAAUGUGAGCCGAGUAUCAUCAUUGAUAUAUCCCUGUGAAAAUUUGAGACCAACAAAUUUUUCAUGACUAUCAUGGAAGCUUCAGGAUGCAGAGACUUUAUCAAAAACUUCAUGGGCGGGGGUGGCACACUGGGUGUAGCUCAGUGAUAGAGCUUAUGGUUAGCACUCAGGAGGCCUCGGGUUCAAUCCCAGCAUUCCUCCUAAAUAUACGUAUAUAUUUAAAAACCCCAUUGCAAGCACAUCUCAAGCUAUUGCUGCAGGUAGUGGGAAUUUAAGUUGGUCUCUCAUGCAUUAGGUAUGAAACAGCUAGCUGUGUUUUUUCCGCUGAGCCACCCUAUAGAGGAGACAGGAGGGACUCUUAUAGAAGGCAGUGCCUACAUUAGGAAAAUUCCCUAUAACCCAACAGUGUUGCAUUCGUGUGAGCGUCCAGCUGGAAAGGUGACAACAUAGGAAGCAGGGGCUACCAUGGCUUGGUUCAAGGGAAGAAGUCACGGUAAAGGUGGCAGAGGAGCCGCAGUCCCCAGGCUCUGAUAUGCUCUAGGGUCAGCCUUUCUGGAACUCUCCAGGCUGGUGAUACACAUUGGUACUGUUGUCCUGGGGCCAAGUGGAGAACGGGGUUUUCAAACCUGGCACCGUGGUCACCUUUGCUCCAGUCAGUGUUACACUGAAGACAAAAUCUUGAACUGCACCAUAAAGUUUUGAGUCCACAGUGUGGUGAAGCACUGGCAGGACAGGGACUUUU